GACGAAGGAUGCAAGCGUUAUCCGGAUUCAUUGGGUUUAAAGGGAGCGUAGGUGGCCUGCUAAGUCAGUGGUGAAAUCUCUGGGCUUAACCCAGAAAUUGCCAUUGAUACUGGUGGGCUUGAGUGCAGUUGCUGUUGGCGGAAUAUGACAUGUAGUGGUGAAAUACAUAGAGAUGUCAUAGAACACCAAUUGCGAAGGCAGCUCACUACACAAAUAUUGACGCUGAGGCACGAAAGCGUGGGGAUCAAACAGG
rnacentral:rRNA from 1 species